UCAAGCCCAGGUGUAAACCUAACCCUAACCCAAAAUUCAUAUUAUAUAUUUUAUAUAUUUUAUAUAUUUUCUCUCGUCGACCUGGUGCAGAAUAGAGAACUAGAUAUUCUUGGCUUGGGGGAGUCUGUGGACAACCUGGUGCUCCAUUUGGCCAACAUGGCGCUGAAUUUCACCAGUCUGCAGCUGCAUCGCACAGAUAUAUUCGACCUGGCGAUGUUGGUGGUCUACCGGGCACAAUACAUCGUGUUCUUGUGGCGUGUAGGCCCAGGAUUUUCUGACAACCAGCAGCGUGAAAUACAGCAGCAGCACUCGGUCCGCCUACACCCAGGGUGGAUACCAGGCCCAGCGGUCGGCCUACAGUGGGCAGCAGCAGGCUGCCUACCCUCAAGACCCACCCCAACAGCCUCCAUCUACUGCCUACCCUCAUGUCCCACCCCAACAGCCUCCAUCUACCGCCUACCCUCGUGUCCCACCCCAACAGCCUCCAUCUACCGCCUACCCUCGUGUCCCACCCCAACAGCCUCCAUCUACCGCCUACCCUCGUGUCCCACCCCAACAGCCUCCAUCUACCGCCUACCCUCAAGUCCCACCCCAACAGCCUCCAACUACCUCCUACCCUCAAGUCCCACCCCAACAGCCUCCAUCUCAAGUCCCACCCUAACAGCCCACCCCAACAGCCUCCAUCUCAAGAGCCACCCCAACAGCCUCCAUCUCAAGUCCCACCCCAACAGCCUCCCUCUACCGCCUACCCUCCUCCCAACGGAUCCUACUCCCACUCUCAGUACAGCCAGCCUGGAGCUUCUCAGAGCAACUACGACCAGUCUGGACCCUAUGGUGGUUACAAUCAGGGUGGUGUGAGCAGAGGGAUUCGUGGUAGACCUCGAGGUCGUGGCCCGAUGGAUUGUGGCAUGGGCGGAUGGAUAUGUACACGCUUGAGACCACAACCUCCGUGGCACAAGUGGUGUUGGGCCUCACAAUGUUGGGCGACAACAUCGGCCACAUCGCCAGUGAGGAGAAGUGUGGCGACAGUGUCGCAGUCAUCAACGUGGCCGCGGUGGUGAUUAUACUUGAGGUCCAGUUGAUCCUGUUCCUUGUUGGCUACAUCUAUCUGAACAAUGGAAGUCAGAUGCAGCGACACACCGCACGCAUUUUAUUUGAGUUGUUUUUGAUUUUCUUUUGUUGGUUUUAUUUUUGUUGUAAAAAGAUUUUUUUUAGUUUUCUUAUGAUUAUUGUUUGUUUUUAAGGUUAAACAGCUGUUCAGUCUGAUUAAUUCACAGACUCUUGUCUUAAUUGUUCAUUGUUUACUUUUUAGUUUAAGUUCAAAUUAAUAACUAAUUUUAACAAUUUUUUAUUUUGUACGGUGACUUUGAGUGUUCAGAAGGAACAUCUGAUUUAUGGACUUUCUUUCUUUUUCUUAUUUUGGUUAAAAUUAAAAAAUAUUUUGUUAUUGUUCGUUUUUUUUUUUUUAAAUAAAAAAAGUUUACCUUGUACAUCAGUCUUCUUCCUCUCACUGUUACUUAUGUUUUUUUUUGUUUGUAUAUUAAGUAUUGCUCUGCAUGUUUUAAUUAAAGUUUAUUGUUCUGUAUGUGAUGCAACAAGGUUUUGAGUUAUGAGUUGUGUUAAUUGUUUAAUUCUGUUUUAACUAUUAAAUUUAAAUUAAUAAAAAUAUUUUAAAAAGUUGGAGUUAAACUGUGAAUCUCUUAGAAAUUGUAGUUCCAGCCUGAAGAAACAUUGCACUAUG